AACGAACGCUGGCGGCAUGCCUAACACAUGCAAGUCGAACGAGACCUUCGGGUCUAGUGGCGCACGGGUGCGUAACGCGCGGGAACCUGCCCUUAGGUUCGGAAUAACUCCCCGAAAGGGGUGCUAAUACCGGUUAAUGUCUUCGGACCAAAGAUUUAUCGCCUUUGGAUGGGCCCGCGUUGGAUUAGCUAGUUGGUAGGGUAAAAGCCUACCAAGGCGACGAUCCAUAGCUGGUCUGAGAGGAUGAUCAGCCACACUGGGACUGAGACACGGCCCAGACUCCUACGGGAGGCAGCAGUGGGGAAUAUUGGACAAUGGGCGAAAGCCUGAUCCAGCAAUGCCGCGUGAGUGAUGAAGGCCUUAGGGUUGUAAAGCUCUUUUACCCGGGAUGAUAAUGACAGUACCGGGAGAAUAAGCUCCGGCUAACUCCGUG
rnacentral:rRNA from 1 species